rnacentral:rRNA from 1 species
GCGCGAAACCUCCGCAAUGCGAGCAAUCGCGACGGGGGGACCCCAAGUGCUACUCUUAACGGGGUAGCUUUUCUAAAGUGUAAAAAGCUUCAGGAAUAAGGGCUGGGCAAGACCGGUGCCAGCCGCCGCGGUAACACCGGCAGCUCAAGUGGUGGCCGCUUUUAUUGGGCCUAAAGCGUUCGUAGCCGGCCUGAUAAGUCUCUGGUGAAAUCCCGCAGCUUAACUGUGGGAAUUGCUGGAGAUACUAUCAGGCUUGAGGCCGGGAGAGGCUGGAGGAACUCCCAGGGUAGGGGUGAAAUCCUAUAAUCCUGGGAGGACCACCUGUGGCGAAGGCGUCCAGCUGGAACGGACCUGACGGUGAGUAACGAAAGCCAGGGGC